UACGAAGGGGGCUAGCGUUGUUCGGAAUUACUGGGUGUAAAGAGCGCGUAGGCGGUUUUGUAAGUUAGACGUGAAAGCCCUGGGCUUAACCUGGGAAAUGCGUUUAAAACUACAAGGCUAGAGUAUGGGAGAGGAUAGUGGAAUUCCGAGUGUAGAGGUGAAAUUCGUAGAUAUUCGGAGGAACACCAGUGGCGAAGGCGGCUCACUGGUCCGGUACUGACGCUGAGGUGCGAAAGCGUGGGGAGCGAACAGG
rnacentral:rRNA from 1 species